AUGAAUUGCAUUAGUUGGAACUGCCGGGGAGGGAAUUCCCGAACAGUUCGAGAAAUAGCGACAUUGUCUCAGUCGCAUUCCCCCACUUUUAUUUUCCUAUGUGAGACAAGACAAAAAGCAAGUAAGAUGAGGCGAAUUCGGGGCCGGCUGGGCCUUAAAGGUUUUGAAGGGGUAGACAGUAACGGAAUGAGCGGUGGUCUUGCAUUGUACUGGCAUGAAGCUUGUUGUGUGGAGAUCUUGGACAAGGAUGAAAGGUACAUUGAUGCUCGGCCUAGUCAGAUUAACGGAGGGGGGUGA
rnacentral:rRNA from 1 species